rnacentral:misc_RNA from 1 species
UCCAGCAGUGCACUCCCAUGCCUGUCAUUGAAGACAGAAUUUCACUUAAUUGUUGCUAAAGGACCCAGAACAAUAAGCAGCAAGAAGAAGCUCAAAAAUUAACCCUUAAAACUAACAUAACUUGACAUAUUGUGCCCGAUGCAUGGAAGAAAAUUUUGAAUUAAUCUGAGAAGUCAAACUUUUGUUAAGAGCUAUGAGCAAUAGCUCCAUGAAUAAACCCAGUAACUGCAAUUAGUGCCCUUUAUUUGAACAAGUUAUCAGAAGAAACCGGCCAAAAAUAUAGAGAUGCACAACCUAAUAAAUCCAUUGCACACAUUACGAUCAGUACCUAAUCAAAAUUAAUUAGCAUACCCAAACUAUGGUUUCAUCAGAUUAUUGCUGUACAUUGGAAGAUAAUCUGAACUAAAGAUUAGUAAUCUAUUUAAAAAAAUAUAGUUUCAGACAUUUCAGUACAUUCUCUUUGAGUUUAUCAACAAACCAGUUAUCUGCAGUAUUGACAAUAAACAACUUCUGUGUCGCA